CUCCUCAACACCUGGCUCCUCAACACCUGGUUCCUCUCAUCCCUCCAUCCUUUUACCAGUCGUGUUCAUCAUUGAAACUGUGGCUGUCCUGCUGCUGGUGAUAGGACGGCUUUAUGGAGAACGAAGCGUCUCUGGGGAGAGAGGUGAUGAUGUUAUGAGUGUGGUGACAUAUACGGCUCUCACAGAAGAGUUGAAGAAAAAAGGUCAGUGAGAGCAGAGACACCCUCAUGGAAGCAGCUUUAAACUGGGAUAUUUUACAAAUGUUAAAUUAGGAAGAAACAACCAAAGUUCUGCAGAUCUUAUGUCAGCUUUUAAACACUUAUCACCUUUUCACUGUUGGAGCAGUAUUUAGUUGAACGUGUGAAUGCUGUUACUACUGAAAUAUACUGACAUUUCUAUCUGGUCUGUCAGCAGUUUAAAGCAUUAAAUAAGACCUGAUCAUAGCUAUAAUAAUUACACUGAGUCUAAGAGCCUCUGCUUUAGAGCAGCAUCAGGGUCUAUUUCUGAGAGAUGAUGGUAGACUUGUUAAACCUCAGUGUUUCUUACGUGUGUUCUCACAGGUGUUUGAACAAAAGAGCUGCUGCAGCUUUUAAAUACAUCCCUGUGGUCAUGGCUCUGUUCCAGCAGUUUCAUAUGAAGCAGUCGGUGCAACAGAUGUUCAAAUGUGCUUUCCACAUCUACCCCAAAGAUGUUGCAUUUUGAAAAUAAGAACCUGACAGGAACUCAUCUCAGAAUAACAAAAUGUGUAACUUUGUUAGCUCGGAGGCUGAUCCUUCUUCAGUGGAAAUCCUCUCACUCCCCGAGCUGGACUCAUUGGCUGAGAGAUGUGAUGCAACACCUAAAACUUGAAAAACUGAGAUUCACAAUACAGAAUUCCUCUGAUAAGUUUGAGAGAACAUGGAAACCUUUUGUAGACUACAUUAGCGACAAGCUUGAUACCCCACUAAGCUGAAAAAUCUAGAGAUAAGUCACACCCAUUAUAGAACUCUGCUGCCACUGUUAGAGCCCAUCACUGAGAGUGAAGUUUUAAUUGAUUAACUUCAUUAUUGUUGGGUUAUCUUUCUGUUUAGUUUUUCAGAACUGCCAUAUUGUUGUAAUUUCUUUG